UUCUUAAGUUUGGGGAUGUAAGUGAGAGUAAAGCAAAAGUAUAGGGGUAUAUUAUUAAAUUAGUAAUGAAUUUCUGGAAGCAACCUCUCGUUAUGCUUCCUUCCCUUCUAUCUCUCUCUGCCGCUUCCUGUUGAGUCGCCGACCUCUGAGAAGAAUCAGGUCUAACAAUGCUUGUACUCUGCUAUUUCAAGGGACUGCAAAAUGAUUAUUGAAUUGUAUUGACCCCCCCUCCCUCUGUAAAGAGCAAUUGAUCCUUGUCAACAAAAUUAUAAAAAUGGCGUAUUCUCUUCUUCGGAUUCGAAAGGUUUCACCUUUCGGAAUCUCUCGUGUUCUUCAAGCUGAUAAGGCAAGUUUGUGGCGGUUUCACUUGGAACCUGAGUGUGCUCGGUUUCUGAGAUUUGGUGUCUUCACUAGGAACUACGGAAAGAUCUUAGGGUCCUCUAACUACGACUUCACUGGCUCCGGACCUACCUCAUCUUUCGAUUUCACUGAUCUCACCUGUCCUCACACAUGGUAUCCAAUUGCUCGGAGGAAGAAGCGUAAAGUCAUUCUACAUGUUGGCCCCACAAACAGUGGCAAAACAUAUAAUGCCCUCAAGCAACUUGAGCGUAGUUCUUCAGGUGUGUAUUGUGGUCCGUUAAGAUUGUUGGCAUGGGAGGUAGCUAAACGCUUAAACAAAGCUAAUGUUCCUUGUGAUUUGAUCACCGGACAAGAGAAAGACUUAGUGGAAGGUGCUAAUCACAAAUCCGUCACUGUUGAAAUGGCUGAUGUUACCUCUGUCUACGACUGUGCCAUCAUUGACGAGAUUCAGAUGGUGGGAUGUAAACAAAGGGGGUUUUCAUUUACUCGUGCUCUACUUGGGAUUGCAGCUAAUGAACUACAUUUAUGUGGUGAUCCAGCUGUCGUUCCUCUUGUUGAAGACAUUCUGAAAGUAACCGGAGAUGAUGUUGAGGUUCUUACAUAUGAGAGGCUUUCGCCAUUAGUCCCUUUGAAGGUUCCAGUUCGGUCAGUUUCCGAUAUUAAAACUGGGGAUUGUCUUGUAACCUUUUCGAGAAAAGAUAUAUAUAGGCAUAAGAACACAAUUGAAAAGGCGGGGAAGCAUCUUUGCUCUGUGGUUUAUGGUUCAUUGCCUCCAGAGACUCGUACAGCGCAGGCAACAAGGUUUAACGACGCGACCAAUGACUUUGAUGUGCUUGUUGCGAGCGAUGCGAUUGGCAUGGGUCUUAAUUUGAAUAUUUCAAGAAUUAUCUUCUCCACCCUUGAAAAAUUUGAUGGUACCGAGACCAGAGACCUAACAGUAUCUGAGAUUAAACAAAUUGCAGGGAGAGCUGGCAGAUUCCGUUCACAGUUUCCUGUUGGAGAAGUAACUUGUUUGCAUAAAGAAGAUCUUCCGUUGCUUCAUUCGUCUUUGAAGUCUCCUUCACCUAUUAUUGAGCGUGCUGGACUGUUUCCAACGUAUGACCUCCUAUCUAGAUAUUCGCAAGCACACCCUAAACUCGGACUGUACAAGAUUUUGGAACAUUUCGUUGAAAAUGCAAAGUUAUCUUCUAACUACUUUAUCUCUAAUGUUGAAGACAUGAUGAAAGCUGCAGCUCUUGUUGAUGAAUUACCUCUCAAAUUGCAAGACAAGUACCUAUUUGUGGUCAGUCCAGUUGACAUAAAUGAUGAAAUAUCUGGUCGGGGAUUUGCACAGAUGACACAGUGAAGGUUCCCAGGACACCAACAGAGCUCAAAGAACUUGAAUCCAUUCACAAGGUUUUGGAUCUGUACGUAUGGUUAAGCUUAAGGCUAGAGGACUCUUUUCCUGACAGGGAAGUGGCAGCUUCACAAAAGUCAAUCUGCAAUGUACUGAUUGAGCAGUUCUUAGAGGCAAAUAGAUUGAUCUCUCCCAUCCCCUUCUCAAGCAAAAAACUGAGGAGCCGGCGUAAAUUCUAAGAAUACAUUUCAAGUUUGGUUGUGCAAUGUUCAUGAGCUGUUCGUUUGGUUUUGGACUCAAGUCGCUGAGGUAGAGCUGAAGACAAGUGAUUGGUUGUUCCAUUACACACAACUAGUAGCAUUCAGAGUUUUGUCAUGUAUUUUUAGUGUUAACUAAACAGUAAAGAACUAUAUAAUUUCAUUGAUUUAUUUAUCAUUUCGUUGAGGCCGAGGCCGUUGUGAUAGAAAUCAUACAAGCAUAUGACAAUCAGAUGCCUUCCAUAGUGAAAACUCUUACUUGCACUUGGGUAUAUGAUCUUCACAAGAAGCUGCUAGUCAAUUUCUUUUAUAGAUA